GACGUGAGGGGCGAGCGUUGUCCGGAUUUAUUGGGCGUAAAGAGCGCGUAGGCGGUCCGGAAAGUCGGAUGUGAAAACCCGGGGCUCAACCCCGGGCCUGCAUCCGAUACUCCCGGACUGGAGGCAGGUAGGGGAGAUCGGAAUUCCUGGUGUAGCGGUGAAAUGCGCAGAUAUCAGGAGGAACACCGGUGGCGAAGGCGGAUCUCUGGGCCUGUCCUGACGCUGAGGCGCGAAAGCUAGGGGAGCGAACAGG
rnacentral:rRNA from 1 species